GACGAACGCUGGCGGCGUGCUUAACACAUGCAAGUCGAACGGUAAGGCCCUUCGGGGUACUCGAGUGGCGAACGGGUGAGUAACACGUGGGUGAUCUGCCCUGCACUUCGGGAUAAGCCUGGGAAACUGGGUCUAAUACCGGAUAGGACCACUGCCUGCAUGGGUGGUGGUGGAAAGCUUUCGCGGUGUGGGAUGGGCCCGCGGCCUAUCCGCUUGUUGGUGGGGUGAUGGCCUACCAAGGCGACGACGGGUAGCCGGCCUGCGAGGGUGACCGGCCACGCUGGGACUGAGAUACGGCCCAGACUGCGACGGGAGGCAGCAGUGGGGAAUAUUGCACAAUGGGCGCAAGCCUGAUGCAGCGACGCCGCGUGAGGGAUGACGGCCUUCGGGUUGUAAACCUCUUUCAGCACCGACGAAGCGCAAGUGACGGUAGGUGCAGAAGAAGGACCGGCCAACUACGUGCCAGCCGCCGCCGUAA
rnacentral:rRNA from 1 species